AGGGAAUCUUCCACAAUGGACGCAAGUCUGAUGGAGCAACGCCGCGUGAGUGAAGAAGGUCUUCGGAUCGUAAAGCUCUGUUGUUGGUGAAGAAGGAUAGAGGCAGUAACUGGUCUUUAUUUGACGGUAAUCAACCAGAAAGUCACGGCUAACUACGUGCCAGCAGCCGCGGUAAUACGUAGGUGGCAAGCGUUGUCCGGAUUUAUUGGGCGUAAAGCGAGCGCAGGCGGAAUGAUAAGUCUGAUGUGAAAGCCCACGGCUCAACCGUGGAACUGCAUCGGAAACUGUCAUUCUUGAGUGCAGAAGAGGAGAGUGGAACUCCAUGUGUAGCGGUGGAAUGCGUAGAUAUAUGGAAGAACACCAGUGGCGAAGGCGGCUCUCUGGUCUGCAACUGACGCUGAGGCUCGAAAGCAUGGGUAGCGAACAGGAUUAGAUACCCUGGUAGUCCAUGCCGUAAACGAUGAGCGCUAGGUGUUGGGGACUUUCCGGUCCUCAGUG
rnacentral:rRNA from 1 species